GAGAAGUUUACUAGGACAAGACAUAAGGAGGAUUGACAGAUUGAUCGCUCUUUCUUGAUUCUAUGGGUGGUGGUGCAUGGCCGUUCUUAGUUCGUGGAGUAAUUUGUCAGGUUAAUUCCGUUAACGAACGAGACUUUGACUUGCUAAUUGGGGAUAUCCAUUGUGAUGGUGUUCCCCGUUAGAAGGACUAUGAAUUCCCAGUUCAAGGAAGCGCGAAGCAAUAA
rnacentral:rRNA from 1 species